rnacentral:piRNA from 1 species
UGUCACAGAAAGUGUGAGUGUCUGACAAAU